rnacentral:rRNA from 1 species
AACGUAGGUUCCGAGCGUUAUCCGGAUUUACUGGGCGUAAAGCGCGUUCAGGCGGUUUGGCAAGUCGGGCAUGAAAUCUCUCGGCUCAACCGGGAGAGGUUGUCCGAUACUUCCAGACUUGAGGGCAGUAGAGGGUGGUGGAAUUCCGGGUGUAGUGGUGAAAUGCGUAGAUAUCUGGAGGAACACCGGUGGCGAAGGCGGCAUCCUGGACCAACAUUGACGCUGAGGAGCGAAAGCCAGGGGAGCAAACGGG